rnacentral:lncRNA from 1 species
CGCUCCCCCAUGCACGCGGACACCCCCAACCACCACAGACGCUUCUUGGAGGCCCCUGAGCUUUUGUCAGUGUGGGAUUGGAGCGGUGGGACACAGACACUCUAUGUCAUCCCUACAAUGCCACUGUCUACCACUGCCUUUCAAAGACGGCUCAUCUGGAUUCUUUCUGAGCAAACGCCUGCACCAAUGAUGGAAUGGAAGGAACAACUCUGCAUGAUACCAGCUUCUGUGUGCCUUCCCUGUCUCACCCGCCAGUCUUUGCCAAAUGGUGCCAAGCAAUCUGACUCCUUCUAGAAUAUUCUAGCACCUUCAUGAUGACCAACAGCAGUAAACUCAGUGUGCAGGACUCCCUCCCAAGGACACAAAUCCAGAUUGACUUUUUUGGAUAUGAGAGAAACUGGAUGAAAUGCCAAAGCUCUCUAUGGGUUAACAGACAUGAAUUCUUAGUAACUGAAUUUGGUCACUUAUUUUCCACAAUUUGAUGGUAAGUCAGACCCAUCCUGGGGUGACAGAACUGAAUGAUAGCAGUAAAGAGUUGAGAACCUCAAUAAAGUAGGAAGCUACUACUGAGCUCCAGGCUGCGUAGACAGACACCAGGAUCUGGAGACCAAUAAAUCUUUGUUUUUUGCUUCUAAGACUCUCAGCUUCUCCUGCCCUAUAAAUACCUGUCUCUUCACUCUGUUGCAGAACCCUCCUAGCCUUCCCUUCCUCUUCCUCUUCCUUUUCCCUCUUUUUUCUCAUUCUUCCAGGAUAACUGCUGCAUGCUCUGCAUUUCAAAUGUCAUAUUGUCAGUCUACCCACGGGUCGUUUUCUGCUGAUUCUACUCCCUUUCAGGAAAUUAUGUUCCAUCCAAUCACUUGUGCAUUAUUUCAGCCCUGGAAAGAAAUCUCUUAUUGUGUCUUAGCUAAGUUCUUGUC